rnacentral:misc_RNA from 1 species
GUUUAAUUUACAUAAAAAUUAAUAAAAAUAAAAUAUAGAAUAAUUUGCAGUUAAUAUAAACUAUUAUUUUUUCAUAUUUAAUAUAAAAUAUAUUAAAUAAAAAAAAUUAUUUUAUUUACAAAUAAAAUAAAUUUUAACAUAAAAUUAAAUUAAACAGAAUCUUAAACUGAUAUAUUUUGGUUUCUAAUUAUUUAAAGCAGAUUUUCAUUUUCGAUCGGUUUUUAACAUGCAAAAUAAUGGAACAAAAAUAACACACCU